UUUACAUUGUCUUCUCAUUCAACGUGUGUGAUAGAAAAACGACGGGCUGGCUUAAAAAUUGUUGUCCCCUUCUCAUGAUGUUGUGAGAAAAUCCAAUAAUUCCUUCUGCUAAAAGGAGAGAUGGUGAGAGUCAAUAAAAUUCACUAUCAACUUAA